AGGCAUCGGAGAGGUAGAUUCACACAAGUCUUGUGACUUAAUAAGUCAUUCUUUCCAGAAGAAUUGAUAUUUUAACAUAAUAUUUAAUAUUUAAUGUAUUGGAAGAGGGCUAGUGGAUUAACUAAAGUGACUAAAUCUCUAUUGAUGAUACCUGAAUUGAGGAGACAUUUCUAACCAAAAGGUUCUUCCAGAUGCCGUUCUUAUUCUAUAACAUAGGCAGGUGCCGAGUAUUCUUUCUUCUCACAAGGCUGUGAGAAGUUGCUGUGAUAAUGUAAGCAUGACAUGAAGGUUAGCAUUUUUGUUCACUGUAUUUACUGCUUUUCCCCAGUACUUAGAACAAUGCCUUCCACUGAGUAGGCAUUCGAUACAUAUAUACUAACUGUAUGAAUAUUCGCAAUCUCUUUGCCAAAAUACAGGCAUGUUAACUCAAGGCCCAUAGGCCUGGCAGAGAUCUGGCAGUGAAGCUUAUUACAUUGGGAAGCCCACAUUUAAGUGGAAAUUGGCUACAGAAAAGUAAUGAGCAAAUGUGGUAGAGCGUUCUAUAGGCUAACCAAAAUCGUUGUCUCUUCCUCCUGAGCAGAUGGCUAGACUACACUUCCCAGCUUCCCUUGAAUUUAGAUGUGACCAUGUGACUGGAUUUUAGCCAUUUGAAGGUCAGCUGAGUAAUUUGAACUACUGCCAGUCUUAGCUCAUUAAAACCUCCUGUACAAUUCUUUAUAGUUUUUCUUGCCCCAUCUGCCAGCUGGAAGAGAAUCCACACAGCACUUCAAGCCCUACGGGAAGCUGGAUUCUGAAUGAUGGUUUGGAAGGCCCCCCGCCAUAUUAGGUUAAAAGUUCACUGCUGUUUACGAUAUGGAAUGGACCUCAGUUCCUCAGGGUGCCAGCCAAAUGCUUUUGAAGAAGAGGAAGUCAGGAAGUCAUAGGCCUUCAGACUCAGAUUGGAAUGUACACCAUUGGCUUUCCAGCUCUCCGCCUUCUAACUCACCACUGGCCUUCCUGGGUGUCCAUGGUUUCAGUUACUGGCAAACAACUGUGGUCCAGGAGAAGAUGGCCCUCCUUCUGAGCAAUUACUUAUAUGGAGAGAGAUGGGACAUGUUUAAAUUUGCAAACUACACAAAACUGAGAAGGAUGGUAAAACAUUGCAUGGUCAAAACUAGAGGUAAGUUGAUGUCAAUAUGUUGUGCUAAAUUAAAUAUACAAAGAUAAAAUAGAUAGAGAAAGAUAAUAGAAAGAUAAGACCAUUCUGUACUCAAUGUAAACACACACACACACACACACACACACACGCACACACAACCUUGCAAGUGUAAAAUGAGAGGUAUGAGGCUUAGACAAGAUAACCUAAAGCUCAAUAUGAAUUGUUAUUGUAAUGUGGCUGGCUAUUGGUAAAUCUACUUUGAGCUUAGACUUUAUUUUUUAAAAAAAGAUACAUUUUCUCAAAAGAGGAAAUACCAUGACUAAUUCUGUAUACCACUCAUUCAAAGGAGACAGAGGAAAACAAACAAAGGAUACAUUUGGAGAGAGUGACCAGUCCAGGGUUAUAGAGCAUUACAAGCUCUUAGGAAGCCAGGCUUCAUUCACACUGCCUUCUAUUAUUAUUCAAAAACAUAUGUGGUGAAAAGCCAACACACUCACUCAGUAAGGACUGGAGUUCUGUGGGAGUAGUAUUAAUGGAUAGAAAUUGCAGAGUAACUGAUUUUUUACUUAAUAUAAAGCAGUGGUUUUCAAUAUCACAAUUGCCUAAAUGAGCCACUUCGGGAGGCAGUAGGUUUCCAUCGCUGGAGGUCUUCAAAUAGAAGUUGGAUGACCAGUUGGGGGAACAUACUUAAUAUUGUUUGUUGCUUUGACACUUGUCCUCAAACAGUGCUUAGUACACAUUAGCCACCAACAAAGUUUUAUUGAAUGAAUGAUUGAAUAGAAAGAGGUUAUUUAUAACUGACAUUUAUGGAGUCCUCAUUAUUUGUCAGGCAGAGCUAAUUUUUCAAAACUUUAUAGGAAGGGGCGGUUACUGUUUUCUUUUUGCAGUUCAGAGAAAUGAAGCUAUCAAAGGGAAGGACAAAGGGGAGUAGAAGAGACAGAGUUUUGAUUGUGGUAUAUCAGUCUCCUGAGCCUGUUUCAAGUUUCAGAAGGUGGUUAACUUUAAUCUGUACGAUUCUUUCACCAAACACAUCCUAAUAUAUGUUAUUAUUAAUUAAACAAGGAGACCAUUAGACUGAGGUUGUUCUAAUACCUUAUCAGCCUGCAUAAGCAAACCAAAAUCUAAGCCUAUAAAUGCCUCAACAUUAAGAUGUCAAGACCUAGGGACGGCCAAUCACAGGAAGCUAGACUUUUCCAAAUGAAGCAAAUGCUUAAACUAAAGUGAAUCAAAUAAUUCCCUUGCUUGCUUCUUCCUUUCCUCUGUCAAAGCCUCUCCCAUAGCUUUUGUCAAUGGAGUGCUCCAAACACUUCCAGGUUGACACUGCCUGACUGGGAUUGAUUUCUGCUCAAAUAAACUCUUAAAAUCUUUAAUAUUCUUAGCUUAUCAUUUAACAACGCCAGUAGGAAGGGCUUCAAUUUACCAACACUUAGUACAUUAGAUCCAAUUUGUUUACUCUACUUGUUAACAUUAAAAUGGAGGUAAAAUGGAGUGGUAGGAAUUUGAUCUCUGAGACAGUUAAAUAUGUUAUGGGACUUUUAAUUAAUUAGCAGGAAAAAGGACAGGAAGGCAGUCAGGCAGACUAGUACAGUGCGUGAAUGUGAGUAGCUGGAAGCCAGGGUGGCUCUCGGGCUUUAUUAUUUUGGAUGCUUACAAGAAGUAUAUGAAGAAAAUAGAAGGUGGAACCAAUGACAGAUUGCACUAUUUUGUAGUUUUGCCUGGUUUAAACCGUUGGUUACAUUUUGAGGAUUAGUGCAGAGUGUCCGCUCUAGAGGCCAGAUUUAAUACCUUACUAAUAUCUAUAUCCUCUGAGCCUUUCAGCUCAGACUUUCAGCAUUGCACAAAGAAGUGAUCAGGACAGAGUAAAUAUGUGGUGGAUACCAUUGUCUCUGGGGCAACUGGAAUGGUGCUGGUUUUAAUUUGUAACUCUUUCUAUUAGCAAGCCCUUGCUUGUUAUGGUAAUUCCAAAAUUUGCUAGUAGCUUAUCUUUAAGAUUUACCUCAAGUUUUGUUCUGGAGAGUAUUGUAUGACCUACUUAUAUAGCUACCUUUGUUUGUUGUCUUUUAAAUUAUUUAUCACUCCAUGUGUGCCUUUCAUAAUACAACUGUGAUAGAUUCUAAUGUUCUGUUUAAUUAUCUGCAUGUUCCUCCUCCCCUCCCUGCCGGUUCCUUGACUCUGAAUUCAUUGAGAAUGUGGCGACCAUGCUGCUCAUCUAUUACCUUCCAUGCCUAGCAAAGUGCUUAGCAAGUAAUUAAUGCUGUGAAAGCAAAAACUGCACCCAGUGAAGUUAAACAGGCAAAGGAAGACUUUAUCUGAAGCUAUUGCAAUAAAAGAAAGGUCCAAACUGGGCUCAACUCUCACGAAACAAUGGGUGAGAAAGUUUUUAAGAGCUGGGUGGAGGGAGUAUAGAUGAAGUUUCUCCUGUCUUCACUGACCAGAAAUAAUUUUACAACUUGGAGCAAGGGGCCUGCCUAAGUGAGGCUCCAGCCCUCCCACAAAAACUGGGAAAUAGGGUUGCUGUCUUCCUUGGUGAUUACAUUUCGAAGAGAUGACUUCUAGGUUCCUGAGAAAGACAUUCCUGGGUUGUAAAAUUAGCAAGAUGCUUUUCCAGAGAUUUCAAAGGUUAGAGAAAGCAUUUAUAACUGCAAACUUUCUGCAGUAAAUUCUGUAAAUAAAGAGAGUUCAAGAGCCUCGAGUCAGGAAGAAGCUUGAAUCAAGUGUAGUCAAGCUGAGAGGAACAUUAGACCACCUCGGUUUGUGUUCAGUGAAAAGUUUGCUACAUGAAUGAACAAAUGAAUAAUAAGUAAACUUUAUUUAUAAAUAGAAACCUUAUAGUGUAUUUCUUGGGAUCUUAAUUUAAAUGUGCCAGCUUAUAAGUAAUAUUUAAAAAGUAAUAUAAAUUAAAGUCAUUUAAAAUAAGCUUUCUUUUAUCUCUGUUGCUUAUUUGAUACUUCAUUGUGCAGAAAAAGCCACACCCCACAACAUACCACAUGUUGAAGAUGCAUAAUGUUUUUAAAAAAUUAAAAAGACUCCAAAAACUUUUAAGCUGGAAGCAUAUUUUAUAAAUCGUUUCCUGCAGUGGAGUACAAAAUGAUAUAUGAAAUGACUUUUUUUAAAAAUUAUUUUUUUCAGAAGCUGUUGUAUUUUCAACAUUUUUGCCUAUUCUCAAAUCAAAAGCAUUACAUCAGACGCAGAAACAUUAUGUACAAACUCUCUGUGGUAGCUGUGGCUAUAAAAUAGGAAUACAAAUGCGUUCUCUUCCUCCCUUGAUGGGUUGCUUAUGAAGAGCAAAUGAGAAUGUGAAAGCACUU